UCAUUUCAACACUUAAGCGGAGAGGAUGUUGCUAUGGGAAACGAAGCUACAACACGACACGACACCACCUAAAAGACACAACACGACUUCUCUCAAGCUGCCGUUUUGACUGUUUUCAGGAGUGAGAGAAUAACCCCCUGCUACAGAAAAUAUAACACAAGAUUCCUAAAUUUCUGAAGGGAGCUGAUCCCAGAGAUGCAGGAAAGACAGUUAUUUUAAGAAAGUUUUGACAUUGAAACAUAAGGUCAAAGUUUAACCUAAGUGCCCUGUAGCUGAUGAACAUCUUUAUAUGCAAAACCGGAGCACCCAGAGAAAACCCACGC